CAGGUCUGAACUGCUAGCUUGAAGGAAAACAAAGAAAUUAGCAAAUAUUCUGGAUGAACCUGACGAACAAAACUGGGAAAUGGGGAGAGCUUGCCUGCAAGGAUGACUAAGUUGCAGGCUCGGAAGUAUCGUUGAUCCCAAGAGAGAGAAUAUGAUUAGUCAGCUCUGAGAAAUGAGGAGUUCUUCCCUCUUUAUCACUGGAAAUAAACAGCUGUUCCAUGCAAGCUUGUGCUUCAGGAAACAAAGCUGAAUCCACUAUUCCCCUACACACUGAAUAUUGAAUGUUGCAUCUCUUGGGUGUAAGCGUACGUUCUCUGCCCUGUCAAGGAUGGAACCAAUGCUGAAAUGCCUGAUGAAGGAGGAAGCAUACUUGUAUCACAAAGUCAUGAGGCUGCCCCCAGCUGGGGAAACAAGGAAGUGGAUUGAAAUUGCCCAGGCUGCCAUGUGGAGAAGAACGACUGUGGGGAACACUGAGGUAAAAGCAAGGAGCUAUGCCCAGCCAUAGGCAUCACUUCAGCAUCAUCAGCAACCUCACAAUGAAGUAGUGGUGGGCAGCAGAGGAGGCACAACAUGGGGGAUCUGAAAAAUGCAGUUGUCUAAAGCUACCCAUUUCCAUCGGCAAUAAAUUUGAGCUCAUUUAUUUGAAGGAUGCAUGGUGCUGGAUGAAACCUGAAGGCCUCAGACAGCAGUGUACCGAGCAGCUUCCAAUUCCUACAGGAAGAAAUAAACAAAUGAGAAGGACUCUUGGCCUGAAUUUGAUGUUCUUUUAUUCAUACAGGUUCAUUAGUAGCCAAAACUGUCCUGCAGGCAGCACAAGCUCUUCUUCCUCACACCACUUUUACAGCUUCUCUGUCAGGAGAUAAUGACUUGCCAAUUGUCUUAGGUUCAUUAGUGGCAGAAUUGCACGUUUUAACUUUCCUGCUGCUAUGUCUGAGGCCCAAGUCCUGGCUUUCCAGUCCCUGUUAACUAAUUCUUCCU